rnacentral:rRNA from 1 species
UCAAGCUACGAAGGGCAUAUGGUGGAUGCCUUGGCGCCAUGAGCCGAUGAAGGACGCGAUAAGCUGCGAUAAGCCGCGGGGAACUGCACAUAAGUAUCGAUCCGCGGAUUUCCGAAUGGGGAAACCCGGCAGCCGUAAUGGGCUGUCACCCGAAAGGGAGGGAACCCGGUGAACUGAAACAUCUAAGUAGCCGGAGGAAGAGAAAUCAAACGAGAUGCCCACAGUAGCGGCGAGCGAAGAGGGCAUAGCCCAAACCGGAGGCCUUCGGGCCUGCGGGGUUGCGGACCGGCGUAAACCGACGAGUUGCUAGUAGAAUUACCUGGAAAGGUAAGCGAGAGAGGGUAAAAGCCCCGUAUACGAAAGCGACGAGGAGGCGGCCGGAAUCCAGAGUACCACGGAGCACGAGGAAUUCUGUGGGAAACCGGGGGGACCACCCUCCAAGGCUAAACACUCCAUGGCGACCGAUAGCGCAUAGUACCAUGAGGGAAAGGUGAAAAGAACCCCGGGAGGGGAGUGAAAGAGAACCUGAAACCGUAUGUCUACAAGCAGUCGGAGCGAAAGCGACGGCGUGCCUAUUGAAGAAUGAGCCAACGAGUUGCGUGUGCUGGCGAGGUUAAGCAGAAGAUGCGGAGCCGUAGGGAAACCGAGUCUGAACAGGGCGUCAAGUCAGUAUACGCAGACCCGAAACUGCAGUGAUCUACGCAGGGCCAGGUUGAAACGCAGGUAAAAUUGCGCGGAGGACCGAACCGGGACAUGUUGAAAAAUGUUCGGAUGAGCUGUGCGUAGGGGUGAAAUUCCAAUCGAACGCAGAGAUAGCUGGUUCUCCUCGAAAUAGCUUUAGGGCUAGCCUCAGGCAGUAAGCGCAGGCGGUAGAGCACUGAUCGGGAUAGGGACUGUAAUGGUUACCGAACCCUGUCAAACUCCGAAUGGCAGCGCUGCAGAGCCUGGGAGUCAGACUACGAGUGAUAAGAUCCGUGGUCAAAAGGGAAACAGCCCAGACCAUCAGCUAAGGUCCCCAAUGCCGUACUAAGUGGAAAAGGAUGUGGGGUUUCAUAAACAACCAGGAUGUUGGCUCAGAAGCAGCCACCAUUUAAAGAGUGCGUAAUAGCUCACUGGUCGAGAGACCCUGCGCCGAAGAUUCCCGGGGCUAAAGUACGGAACCGAAGCUAUGGAUGCAUGCUUGGCAUGCGUGGUAGAGGAGCGUUCCCGUCGGGUUGAAGUCGUCCUGUAAGGGACGGUGGACGGACGGGAAGUGAGAAUGUUGGCAUGAGUAGCGAAAAGAACGGUGAGAAUCCGUUCCACCGAAAACACAAGGAUUCCUGAGCAACGAUCGUCGUCUCAGGGUAAGUCGGGACCUAAUCCGAGGCAUGGAGCGUAGGAGAUGGACAUCCGGUUGAAAUUCCGGAACCGGCAGGAAUCGUCAAGAGCAACGGAGUGACACAGGAAGGCAGGCGCGCAUGAGAUUGGAAGUUCAUGUGCAAGCGUGCGACGCGCGGGACAGGCAAACCCGUCCCGCACAAGCGCCAGGCGUGACGCGGAGGGAACCGCAAGGGACCCGAAGGCGCCGGACCUACACUGUCGAGAAAAGCUUCUAGCAAGAGACCUGCCGCCCGUACCGUAAACCGACACAGGUGUGUGGGGAGAGAAUCCUAAGGUGCGCGGGAGAACCCUCGUUAAGGAACUCGGCAAAAUGUACCCGUAACUUCGGGAUAAGGGUAGCCAUCUGGUGUGAAGGGACUAGCUCCCGGAGCGCCGGAAGGCCGCAGAGAAGAGGCCCAAGCGACUGUUUACCAAAAACUUAGGUGCCUGCCAAAGCGAAAGCUGACGUAUAGGUGCUGACACCUGCCCAGUGCCGGAAGGUUAAGGAAGGAGGUCCGGGUUCGACCCAAAGCCUUCGACCGAAGCCCCGGUGAACGGCGGCCGUAACUAUAACGGUCCUAAGGUAGCGAAAUUCCUUGUCGGGUAAG